rnacentral:rRNA from 1 species
UGGAGCAUGUGGUUUAAUUCGAAGCAACGCGAAGAACCUUACCAGGUCUUGACAUCCCGAUGCUAUUUCUAGAGAUAGAAAGUUACUUCGGUACAUCGGUGACAGGUGGUGCAUGGUUGUCGUCAGCUCGUGUCGUGAGAUGUUGGGUUAAGUCCCGCAACGAGCGCAACCCCUAUUGUUAGUUGCCAUCAUUCAGUUGGGCACUCUAGCGAGACUGCCGGUAAUAAACCGGAGGAAGGUGGGAUGACGUCAAAUCAUCAUGCCCCUUAUGACCUGGGCUACACACGUGCUACAAUGGUUGGUACAACGAGUUGCGAGUCGGUGACGGCGAGCUAAUCUCUUAAAGCCAAUCUCAGUUCGGAUUGUAGGCUGCAACUCGCCUACAUGAAGUCGGAAUCGCUAGUAAUCGCGGAUCAGCACGCCGCGGUGAAUACGUUCCCGGGCCUU